UUCUUAUCAAGAGAGGUGGAGGGACUGGCCCUUUGAAGCCCGGCAACCAAUAAAAUUAUUCAUUUAUUAUUUUAUAUGGUGCUAAUUCCUGUAGUCAUUUUAUACUAGAGAUAAGAG
rnacentral:ncRNA from 1 species